rnacentral:rRNA from 1 species
GAUGAACGCUAGCGGGAGGCUUAAUACAUGCAAGUCGAGGGUGAAGCUAGUUUUCGGAUGGUGGAAACCGGCGCACGGGUGAGUAACGCGUACACUACCUACCUCAUACUGGGGAAUAGCCUUUGGAAACGAAGAGUAAUACCCCAUAGUUCCCGAUGUAUUUCGGGAUAAAGUUCCGGCGGUAUGAGAUGGGUGUGCGUCCCAUUAGCUAGUUGGUAGGGUAAAGGCCUACCAAGGCAACGAUGGGUAGGGGGCGUGAGAGCGUGAUCCCCCACACGGGUACUGAGACACGGACCCGACGACUACGGUCGGCAGCAGUAAGGAAUAUUGGACAAUGGGCGAAAGCCUGAUCCAGCCAUCCCGCGUGUAGGAUGACAGCCCUACGGGUCGUAAACUACUUUUGCUUGGGAAGAAACCCCUGGAUUUACUCCGGGGCUGACGGUACCUUGCGAAUAAGCACCGGCUAACUCCGUG